AGCUGCCACUGUUCUUAACCACUGAGCCAUCUCCCCAGCCCCAGAAGUCCUUGGAAAUAUACCUAACCCUCUACUGACCCCAGGUUAAAGACCAGAAUUUAUAUUUGCAAAGUGCCCAUGGGUCACUGAGUUUGCAUUGUCUUCAAGGCCUGAGUUGAGGUACAGGUAGGGCUGGGAAGACCUAGAUCUGGAAUAUCCAUUGCAGAAUCUUCUUUAGCUGCCUAGCUCAGCAGCCAGAACCCAACAAAGGUUGACUUCUCUCGCCCUUCCAAAUGGGGCAGAUGUGGCAAACUGGCCUGGACCAGCAGCAAGCAGGGAGGUGCCAUUCCCGCUUCCCUAGGCGCUGGGACCAACUUCAGUUCUGCUCAUCAUCCUACCUGCUGCCUUCUUACAGCAGGGUUAAGCACACAGCUUUGCAAUCAGGGACCUUGGAAUGCAGGCCUGAUCUUUCUGCAUAUAUGUACUCAUGCUCGUGUCUGGACUUAAGGGGAGUACACACAAAUCCAUCAUGAGCUGAAAAUAUUCUAAGACAAAAUGCAUUUAUUACACCUACUCUACCGAACAGCCGUAUGGACUAACCGGUGCUCAGUUGGCCAAAGCCACCUACUGGAAUAUCUCACAGGGUUCCUGUAUCCAAAAGUACUAGCCACUAAGUUCCCUGUAGGGUGUUGCCUGUCAGUGCAUGUGAUCACAUGACAGUCUAGGAACAGCUGCCACCUAGCAUCUCAAGCUGCCCUCAUACCAUGGUGUGUCAAUAGCCCAGCAAGUGGAGAGUGUGGUUCCUACUGAAUGUAGAGCUUUGAUGAAAUUGCAAAGUUGAAAAAUCAUCCAUCACACAGGUUUCCAUCUAUAUGUGCAUACCCGCAACUGUGUGUGGAUGUAUGUGUGCAUACAUGUGUCUCCUUUUUCUCUUUUUGUUUCAGAGUAUCUUCCAGGUAUUUGAAUUUGGAAACCCGACCCUCCUAGGGAUGCUGUGAAGAUUUGGGGAACUGAUGCAUGGGUGCACAGGAGCACUGAUUGUGGUUAUACAGGAGUACCAAUGCAUGGGUGCACAGAAGCAUUGAUGCCUGGGUAUACAGAAGCACUGAUGCAUGGGUACACAGGAGUGCUGAUGCAUGGGUGCACAGGAGUAUUAAUGCAUGGGUGCACAGGAACGCUGAUGCAUGGGUGCACAGGAGCACUGAUUGUGGUUAUACAAGAGCAUUAAUGCAUGGGUGCACAGGAACACUGAUGCAUGGGUGCACAGGAACACUGAUGCAUGGGCGCACAGGAGUAUUAAUGCAUGGGUGCACAGGAACGCUGAUGCAUGGGUGCACAGGAACACUGAUUGUGGUUAUACAGGAGCAUUAAUGCAUGGGUGCACAGGAACACUGAUGCAUGGGUGCACAGGAGCAUUAAUGCAUGAGCACAUUUAAUAAUUCAGAAGCUGGUACUUGGUUGGUCACAUGCUGGUCAGCAUCACCAGCUGUGUUUCCUCGGGACCAGUGGACUCUCCUUCAGUCACCCUGGCGUAUUGGUUGGGGCUGGGCGCCAUCUGGUGGCUGCUCUUUCUACUCUCACUUAGGUCCCUUGGAUGUGAGGCCCCUUUCCUGGUCCCCUUGUCCCCCAGAUGAGGACUGGGAGCAAACUUGCCCCUUUCCCCACGGCUCCCUUCCUGACUUUGGAGAGGCUUGGGUCAGGUCUGGCAAUGGGAAGUGGGGCUUGGCAGUGAGGGCGGAAGCCGGGAUCUUCUUGGGGAAGUUGUGGCUGCGGACUCUGAGGCUUGAUCCCGUUCUCCCAGACCAUCCCUGACCUUGAGGGUCCCCAAAGCUAGGCCCACUGUCACAGAUGGACCAGCAGCACAUCCACAGAAAUCCCCAGGCUCUUAUGAGCCACACACCCCUGAGGACGGAUGACAUGGCACCUGGUGAUCUCAUAAUUGGGGCUCACAAGGAGAGAAUGCGUGCUGAAAACAAGCUGGAAAAUAACCCAAACGGUCAGAGUGAUGUAGAUGGGAACUCCAGUGUGCAUGGGGAUCACCUGCUGCUGUCUAUUGUCUAAAACGGAGCCCGCAGGCCCUGCCACGGGUGCAGGGGUGCAUCAGGCUUCGAUCUGCACGGAAGGUACGGAUGGUGGGCUUCUAGGCUAUCCUGGAUUCAAAGGGCUCGAAGCCCGCUGAGGAUGCCAUCACUGCGAGAGGUGGAUUAAUGCCCCUCACUUCCGUGAUGUCCAUAUUGUCAUAGCUGCUGGCUGGCCUGAGGGGCAGGGAGUUCUCCAGAAAGGACACAGAAUCCCAACGACGCCACAGUCCCGGCCCCGAGAGAACCAUGGUGGACCCCUGCCCUGCAGAGUUCAGACUGGGAUUGCCUCAGGGGGAACCUCACGCACCUUCGUUGACCUCGUCGUUCUCCCUGUCCACCUGGGCCUUCAGCACGUAUCUCUUUAUGAGCCGCUUCAUGAUUUUCUGAAACGACGAGCACAGGGGGUCAGCACUGGACGCUAAGCAGGCGAGUGACUCUCUCCAGGGUGCUCUGCCCCUGGAGGGACCUGACAGAGCUCUGCCUAACCCCCCAUCCCCCUGUGCCCCUCAGGAGGUGACCACGGGACACUCCCUGAUGAGGGGAAGCCAGGCCAAGGAGAGGGGGAUCCUUGGAUACGUGGCUCUGCUUGAGGUCCUCAGCCCACUUUUGUCCUGGCCAGACAGGGAAUGCUGGGAAAUCUUAGCAGGUCAGCUCAGGUAACUGCAGCCCUAGAGGUGACCGUGAGUGGUGAGAGCCGCCAGGGUCAGGCUGGGGGAAGUCGGCUGCACCUCGAAGAGCUGUUGCCAGCGGCCCUCAGCCACUCUCCCAGCCAGGUGUCUGGAUCAGAUGGAGAGACCACUUCCCCAGAUGCCCGCAGGUCAGACCUGUGCCCCCAGUUAUGGUGGAGCAGGGACUUCGGCCCCAGUUUCCCAAUAACAGGAAGUUAAGUGUCGCUUAGUAAGCAGAUCUUGAGCCACGUUGAAGGGACACCAAGAAUAGCGCCGAGUGUCAGGAAGCCUGGAGGAGCUGAACUUUGGAUUUUGCCAGCUAGUUGUUCAGGGUUCCUGUGAAAUCACAGAGUUUAAAAAUAUUCUGGAAGCUGAGAUUUCUGACUCUUUCGAGAUGAGCAGCAUGGAGGAGAGGGGGGCCAGAGUUCCCUGCUGCUGGAGCUGCCCUGGUCAGGAGUCCAUUCACCUGGCCACGCCCAGAAUCAAGAGGACACAGCAGCAUCUGGAGUUCAGCAUCUUCUGGAGUUCAGCAUCUUCUGGAGUUCAGCAUUUUCUGGAGUUGUUCAGCAUCUUCUGGAGUUCAGCAUCAUCUUCUGGAGUUCAGCAUCUUCUGGAGUUGUUCAGCAUCUUCUGGAGUUCAGCAUCAUCUUCUGGAGUUCAGCAUCUUCUGGAGUUCAGCAUCUUCUGGAGUUCAGCUGCCUGCAGUGGACCUGGCUUCAGCCCUGGACUCUCUGAUGGCAGAGAAACGGGACUGACCUGUGUGCAAAGUGUUAGAGGCUGAGGAAUUUCCUGCUGGAUGGUUCUCUCCAUGCCCUCAGCAGGAGGCUGACUUGCCAAGGACAGUCUCCAGACUGGGUCCCAAGAUUUUGCAUGUCCUGAGCUACGUUUCUUUCAUCCAGGGCCCCGGGUGAAAUUAGGCCAGUGAGCCCUCCUCUGCCUGAGCCUGUGGGUCCCCCUCCCAUGGCUUGAUGGCUUGUUUGGGUGCUGGGAACAGCUCAUUAGUAAGCUGCCCCCUGCUGGUCCCCAUGUGGUAAGUGUUAGCACUGCGGUGUCUGAAGUGUAGCUCAUCCUUGUCUCUGGGACAUUCUUCUAGUCCAGGAAGCAGAUUAUCUACACCACAGGACUGAGUGCCCACCCCUGGGACCUUCAAAGGAAAAGCAAGCCCAGACAAACACAAAAAAUAAAACCUGCCCUUAAUUGGUUCUCACAGAA